rnacentral:sRNA from 1 species
ACCAUGCCGAUGAUGAGAAUCCAACUCGGAGGCGUUUUCGCCAAGGGAAUUCCGUUCCCCUAAGUUUCCCGGACCGCCCGUUACCGCGGAACCAAAGAGGGUCGGAUCUUUCAGCCGGCCAAAUUGGGUGGCACCGCGAGUCAAGCGCUCCUCGUCCCAACA